CCAGAGGGCCAGUGUGCAGAUGAAGACGCUGAUCAAAGUCAUGGUUGCUGCGGGUGAAGUUGCUGAGCAGCAGCACAAAGUCACAGGGCUAUAAACACUUGCAGUGCACUGAAGCAUGGACUGCCAAUGCAAAGUGGAACCUUGUGUGUGUGUGUGUGUGUGUGUGUGUGUGUGUGUGUGUGUGUGUGCACCGCAGUGUGAUGGAGGUUUUUGUACUACGGUUUCAUUAGAAUGUAUCACUGUGGUACACUUUUGGUGGAGGCACAAAACUUGUUAUUAAAACCGGUCCCACGGUGAAGCCCUCCGUGUCUCUGCUCCCUCCGUCUCCUCUGCAGCUGUCUGAGGGAUCGGCCUCGCUGCUCUGCCUGCUGUCGGGCUACUCUCCACAGGGGGCGCUGGUGAGCUGGACAGUGGACGGCUCAGAGGUGAAGGACGGGGUUCUGACCAGCGCAGAAGAACAGAAGAACGGCCGUUACAGCCGCAGCAGCACCCUGACCCUCAGCAAAGACCUCUGGGAAAAUGGGGAGCAGUUUGUCUGUACGGUCUCCCAUGACUGCGGCUAUCAUCCGGUCACGUUCAGAAAGAGUCAGUGUGAAGUCUAACAGCUCCAAGAUAGAGUCUAACACUGAGCUGCUUCUGAUCCAUCUACAAUAGAGUUUCGAUUCUACACAACGCUGACAUUUCUGUCUUUAAUCUCUUCACUGUCCUGUUGCUCUUCCUGUAGUUUUUGCUGAAAUAAAGCUGAGUU